UACGGGGGGGGCAAGCGUUGUCCGGAAUUACUGGGCGUAAAGGGUUCGUAGGUGGCCAACUAAGUCAGAUGUGAAAUCCCUCAGCUUAACUGGGGAACUGCGUCUGAUACUGGUUGGCUUGAGUGCAGGAGAGGAACGCGGAAUUCCAGGUGUAGCGGUGAAAUGCGUAGAUAUCUGGAGGAACACCGGUGGCGAAGGCGGCGUGCUGGACUGCAACUGACACUGAGGAACGAAAGCCAGGGGAGCAAACGGG
rnacentral:rRNA from 1 species